rnacentral:rRNA from 1 species
UACGGAAGGCAGCAGUGGGGAAUAUUGCACAAUGGGCGCAAGCCUGAUGCAGCCAUGCCGCGUGUAUGAAGAAGGCCUUCGGGUUGUAAAGUACUUUCAGCGGGGAGGAAGGGAGUAAAGUUAAUACCUUUGCUCAUUGACGUUACCCGCAGAAGAAGCACCGGCUAACUCCGUGCCAGCAGCCGCGGUAAUACGGAGGGUGCAAGCGUUAAUCGGAAUUACUGGGCGUAAAGCGCACGCAGGCGGUUUUGUUAGUCAGAUGUGAAAUCCCCGGGCUCAACCUGGGAACUGCAUCUGAUACUGGCAAGCUUGAGUCUCGUAGAGGGGGUAGAAUUCCAGGUGUAGCGGUGAAAUGCGUAGAGAUCUGGAGGAAUACCGGUGGCGAAGGCGGCCCCUGGGACGAAGACUGACGCUCAGGGUGCGAAAGCGUGGGGAGCAAACAGGGAUUAGGAUA